CCAAACCCUAAAUUAAUUCACCCUCCAACUGCCCCACUCCCACAAUCGCUACCUUUCAUCGAUGAUUUCUUUCCUCAUUGCAUUUUUUUCCUUCUUCUCAGCAUUGACGGCGACCAUUUUUUGUUUCUUCACAUGCUUUUUUGCGCGUCACAUUUCACGACGAGGACGGGUGAGGGGGAGUGAGCGCCGCUUAUUAUCUGCUCACGAUGUCGCAUCGCAGAUGACGAUCUAAUGGCACCCACUUCCAAGACGGCAAUCUGGUGGCAACCACUCAUAAGACCUUCGGUCUGUUAUUUGUUCUUUGUGGAUUUGAGGUGAUGGCGAGGGUUUUUGAUUGUUAGGUUGUUACUGGCAGUAGUUGUAGUGCAAUAGUGGUGAAGGUAGUUAUUGGUGGCUGGAGAUCUAAUAAAGGUGGUUGUCAUGGUUUUUGUUGGUAGUAGAUUGGAUUUGGUGGUGGCGAUUUGGUGUCGGUGGUGAUGUUGUGGUGUCGGUGGUGUUGUGGUAUAACGACAGUGACAAGGUGAGGGUGUGCGUAAGUGGCCGUGGCUGUCGUAAUAGUGUUGGUAGUGAAGGUAUGUGAUCCACUAUUUAGUGCAUAUUACGUUUACACUUGACUUUAAAAUUUGAUAAUUUGUGAUUAAAAAAUAAUUUAUAAUCAAUAAAUAUAAAAAUAUAUAAUUGAUAGAUAAAUUAAGAUUUUCAUUUUUUUUAUCCGUGACCAAUAAAAUAAAUCGUGAUUCAUAAAUUUUUUUUUAUUUGUAAUCUUGAAAUAAUUCGUGAUCAAUUAUAUUGAUAAUAUGUGACCAAUAAAUAAAUUAAAAUCUAUAAUUAUGUAUAUGUGACUAUUAAUUGUAUAAUUGUGAUCUUAUUAUGUUUAAUUAAUUAAUAAAUACCUAAUUUUUACAUUUUUAAACUUAAGACCUGAAAAUUGAUUUGAUGAUACUUAACACCUGAUUUAUGAUUUUUUUUCCCCAUAAAUUAUAAUUUUAACGGAGCACAAACGGGGUAUAUCAUGCUAAAGAUUUGAAUUCAAAACCCAUCCAACCAUUCCAAUAAAAAAAAAAGAGCACGUGUUAUCAUUUGAUAGUAGAAUUAAACCCGGCACGUCGAAGACAAUCUAUAUAAAUACAUGAUCUAUCUCUACCCGUCUAAGUUUUUUGAUGAAAUGUUAAAAAGCUUCAGAAUUCACUGAAAUGUAAAUAAGAGUGAUUGUAAUGUGCGAGUUUUGGGUAAAUGUUCUCGUACACAAUAAUUGCACAAACAAAAUUUACAACAUGAACAAAAGAUGUACACAAUAAUUGCACGAACAAAAUUUACAACAUGAACAAGAGAUGCCAUUCAAUGUAAUUGUAAAGAAUAAAUCGCACCCUUGUUCUCAUUAGCUGACUGCCAAUCUCCCAUAAAAACAAAUGCAGUGGAAAGAAUAGAAGUACCUACAAAUUCGACAACGAAAAUCGUGGCCAGUGUGUCCGAUGCUCGACUUCAGAUAUGGAAACGACAAAAAAAAAGGUCGUCGAGGUUGUCUCAGCAAAGCAAAAGGGUUGCAAGGACAGCAAUCCUACUUAG
rnacentral:lncRNA from 1 species